rnacentral:rRNA from 1 species
CCCUUAGAUGUUCUGGGCUGCACGCGCGCUACACUGAUGCGCUCAACGAGUUUUAACCUUGCCUGGAAAGGUUGGGUAAUCUUUUUAAAACGCAUCGUGAUGGGGAUAGAUUAUUGCAAUUAUUAAUCUUCAACGAGGAAUUCCUAGUAAGCGCGAGUCAUCAGCUCGUGUUGAUUACGUCCCUGCCCUUUGUACACACCGCCCGUCGCUCCUACCGAUUGAAUGUGUUGGUGAGGAGCUCGGAUUGGCAGCAGUUGGUGGUUCGCCACCGGCUAUUGCUGAGAAGUCCUCCAAACCGCCCCAUUUAGAGGAAGGAGAAGUCGUAACA